rnacentral:rRNA from 3 species
CUUUCAACAACGGAUCUCUUGGUUCUGGCAUCGAUGAAGAACGCAGCGAAAUGCGAUAAGUAAUGUGAAUUGCAGAAUUCAGUGAAUCAUCGAAUCUUUGAACGCACAUUGCGCCCGUCAGUAUUCUGGCGGGCAUGCCUGUUCGAGCGUCAUUACG